AUUGAACGCUGGCGGCAGGCCUAACACAUGCAAGUCGAACGAGUGGCGGACGGGUGAGUAAUGUAUGGGAAACUGCCUGAUGGAGGGGGAUAACUACUGGAAACGGUAGCUAAUACCGCAUACCAUCAGAUGUGCCCAGAUGGGAUUAGCUAGUUGGUGGGGUAACGGCUUACCAAGGCGACGAUCCCUAGCUGGUCUGAGAGGAUGACCCGCCCAACUGGAACUGUGACACUGGCCCGACCCCUACGGGUGGCAGCCAGGGGGGAUAUUGCGAAAGGGGCGCAAGCCUGAUUCAGCCAUGCCGCGUUUAUGAAGAAGGCCUUCGGGUUGUAAAGUACUUUCAGCGGGGAGGCGUUACCCGCAGAAGAAGCACCGGCUAACUCCGUGCCAGCAGCCGCGGUAAUUC
rnacentral:rRNA from 1 species